ensembl:lncRNA
AGCGGAAAUGUUGUGGAGAGGCAGCCCCUGGGUCCGCCGGGGGAGCUGGGGUGCCACGCGGGCCACGUGCGCCCAGGAGUACUUAGGUGGCGGCUGCCCGCAGGCAGUGGGGAGAGACCCUCUGUGGGCAGGGUCUUGCGCCGGAACCGCCAUUCCUCAGCCACAGGGGCGCCCGGUAUCUUUCUGUUUUAAAUCCUGAAACUAUUGACGCCCCAGGCUCAGACCGGUGUCUACAACCAGGCGUUGACACGUCAAAGAUAUUAUGAGGAAGAAGAUGAAACUCAAAGGGGCCCAGAAUAUGAUGCUACACCAACAAAAGAAAGAACCUGAUGUCAUCUAGUCCGAUACCAACUGUCCAGAGAAGUGUUGGGAUAUGUGUCUCACUGAAGGCCACACAGCCAUUAGGGGCAGUCAGAUCUCCUGGCAUCUGGGCCAGAAAAUAUCCUGAGCACUUCAAACAUCUUAACAAGAACAAGCUGACUAUUCAUAACCAGGAUCAAGUAAGCAGAUCCCUGGAGAGAUGCCCUUUCAACCCUCCAUCUCUGCUAAAUGCCUGUUGGAUCCCAGCAGUGGAGCCUGCUAGAUGGUUGGAUUUACUUAGAACAGACUAUUAUGAAGAGAGACGGUGCCUGGAGCAUACACACAGAGAGACACUGGGAAAAUACCCUUGUGCUGGAGCAACAGGGUGAAAACAUCUGUGUUCCUGAGCUGCUUAGGAAGAUAAAGUUGCUGGGGAGGCAGCUCGGGUCCGGGAGGCAGGAGGAGCGGGGAGUGGUGCAGUCCAAGGGUGUGCAUGUUUGGAGCAGAUGGAAAAUGUACCCCCAUAACUGGAGAUGUAAGCAAAUUGUAAUUGAUUUUACAACAGAGACAGAGUGAGAGGAAAGGUACAAAGGAGACCGAUGCAGGAUUUGAGUGAAAACCUGGGGAGUGGCUAACAGAAGAGAAACAGCUUAAAACACCAAAGUAGGAUUUAUUCCCGAGAGCAAGAGGUAUUCACAGCGGUCUUGAUUCUAAGUGAAUUUAAUAUCUGCCUGCCAGUGAGGAGACCCAAGCUCUAAAAGUCUAAGCUGGCCAGUCAUCCUCUUCCCAUCCCCUAGUUUGGCUUCUAAACUGAACAACAUGCCCUUUCCCCAUCCCUGCCAGGCCUCAAAAAUUAUCAAGCAAUUUUUUCCCCUUUUACUUAUAAAAGCAGCUUCCUAGAAGAAAUCUUUCUGGGUUGCUGAAACCAGAGAUUCUGACUUGGAUCUGCCUCAACCUGGAAUUCCAACAGUUACUCCUUUCCCAACUCCAGCCUGAAGUUUCCCACACAUCCCCGUCCUAGCGGCCACACAUCAUUUCGGUUUUGCCCAUGACUGAGGGUGAGUCAGCCGGCAAACACUCCUCGCCCCUUAGGAUUCUCCAAAUUAGAUCUAGGCAUCCACAUCCUUGGGGCAUUUGCAGAUCACAUGUAUGGAUGCACCAAGCUAAGAGGAUAACUGCUGUGAUUGAUGAUAGGAUCAAGAUUUUAAAUGAAUUCCAUAAGCUGAAAGAUGGUCUCAAAUCAAUAAGAAUGCACCAGGAAAAAAUGCAAAGCACUGCAUUUAGACCCAACAAUCAAUUGCACAAAUAUAGGAUGGAAAAUAAAAUAUAGACCUAGAAAACA